rnacentral:rRNA from 1 species
CGGACCUCUGAUCGAAAA